UCUAUCUACGGAGGUCAGUCCUGGCUAUAAAGCAAAGCGGGGGCUGUUGGCUGAACAGGCGCCUGAACAACAACGCGACGCUAGGCAGCCAUUCGCCUCAAGGGCCGCCAGGCGAGCGCAGCCUUCUGACGAGGAGCCGCGGCCGAGGCGGGACGAGAAGGAGGCGGAGGAAAAGGCGGGCCCCGCGCUGCCGUUGGGCCGGAGCAGCGGCGAAGGAGGCGGAGCGGGAAGUUUGAACUGCGGCGGCUCUGAGGAGGCCAUAGCCGAGGCGGGAAAGGCGAUGAGGCGGUGCCGAGCAGGCCGCGCUGCCGACGAGCAGCAGGUGAAGGAGGACCAGGCCCAGUGUCCGCCAGAUAAAGGAAAGCCCCUCCGUUUAGACCGACCAGAAUGCCACCCAAUAGGUGGAAGCAUUCAAGAGAAAAUUGACUUUGAAACGAGAAUGCGAGAAGGAAUUUGUAAGCUGCUUGCUGUGAGCACACAAAAGGACCAAAUAUUGCAUGCAGUUAAGAAUCUGAUGGUUUGCAAUGCUCGCAUCCUUGCCUACAGGACAGAAUUACAGAAACAGACAGGAGAAUCAACCAUGAAGAGAACCACAGUGCGAUGUUCAGAUUUUGCAGCUAAAGACCGUGAAGCUUGUGGAGGGAGACUUGCCAUAUCAGAUCUCCGAAUUCCAUUAAUGUGGAAAGGCUCUGAUCACUUCAGCAGCAGAGACAGAACCCAACGUUACUCAGUAUUUUGCUUACUCAAAGCAGGAACUCAGGUGUUUGAUACAGACUUGCUUAUUGUAGAUAAAGCAAUCACAGAUAUAUGCUUUGAAGGUGCAACCAUAUUUGAGGAAGCUGGCCCAGCCUUCCAGCUGAAGAUUGAAGUCUACAGUUGCUGCUGUACUGAAGAAUCUUCAACUAUAACAAACACUCCUAAGAAGCUAGUAAAGAAGUUGAAAACCUCAAUUGGGAAAGCUGCUGGGAAAAAACUCAGCCCUGUGUUGGAUGACAGCAACCCUGAAUCCUUGUUGCUUGCUGAUGCAGCUGUAGUGGGUGCAAAAUACAAUUUGCUGGCACAUGCAUCUUUGGGAUUGGAGAGUGUCAACAACAAUUUCAGGACCCACAACCUUACUGCCGUGGGAGAUGAGGAAUCUUCUUUUUGGCUUCCAUUGUAUGGCAGCCUGUGUUGUCGUCUAAUUGCCCAACCAUACUGCAUGACCAAGGAUAUGAUGACUGGAUUUCUUAGUCAACAGCAAAAGAUAGGGAAUGUGACUGGAUGGAGAAAACUAUACUGUGUACUGAGAGGUGGCAAACUCCUUUGUUAUUGUACACCAGAAGAAAUAGAAGCUAAAGUGGAGCCGACUUUGACAGUUUCUGUCAACAAGGAAACCAGAAUUCGUGCUGUGGAUAAAGAUACCCCGAUAAACUCCAAUAACUUUUCUGUUAUCAACCCUGAGGCUGGUGAAACUGUGACUCAGAUUUUUGCAGUUGAAAGCCGGGAAGACCUUUAUAACUGGAUGGAAGCUUUCUGGCAGCACUUCUAUGAUUUCAGCCAGUGGAAACACUGUUGUGAAGAAUUCAUGAAAAUUGAAAUUAUGUCACCACGGAAACCACCAUUGUUCUUGACGAAAGAGGCUACUUCAGUUUACCAAGAUAUGAGCAUCAUUGGCAAGCCACACCUUUGUUCUCAAUUGCUUCUCCCUAGUUAUGCAUGUUAUGGAGAAAAUGGCUAGGAGAGAGGUUUUUCUCCCUAUCUCAUAGACUAGAACCCAGGACCAUCUAAUACAGCUGAAGGUUGGAAGAUUCAGGACAGGAUGCAUAUUCUGACAUUGUUUUGGGCAUGGCUUGCUGUUGGAGUAGCAAAUACCUGGAAACCCAUGUUGUGGCCUAAUCGAGGUGAGAUUCCACUGCGUUUUUUUCUUGAGAAUAAGUUAUUGAUACUGUAAUGGCAGGGUUUUUUUUUGCUUUGUUUUUAACAAUAAUGUGCUUAGUAAUUAUUUUUGUUAAGCCCUGCAAUUGAGACAAUGAAGAUUUGAUUUGGGGUUGUUAUCCGACAGCGUGCUGUCAGGCUGGUCAAUAUUUUGUGUGUGUAGCGCACUGAUUGACUCAUGAUGUGAGAUAAUGUUCUCUUUUAUCUUAGCCUUACUGGUCCUUGGUAAAUCCAGGUUACUCAAGCGUCAGUUUGACUGCCUGUACAUACUUGUGUAAUAUUUACCAUGUUAUUUCAGAGCCUUUGAUGGAAGGCAUUGUGUAAGAACAAAGCCUCGUUUGUUUCUUAAAAGACUAGAUCCACACUCACAUGGUGCUGCGUAGCAGACAGGGAAUCCUGCCAUUUGCCUUUGGGAAUGCUCUGAGGAUCCCCUUGUACCCAGUAAAGGGUACGACCCGCAUUACAGCUUGCAUGUAGCUCUUUGUAAACUUAGCCAGCUAAGCUUUAAAACAAAUUAGAUCCCCCUUUCCAUUAUUAAAGGAGGAUCAUUCUAAUGCCUCUGAAAGCAUGAAAAUCUCUUCUUCAACCUGAAGUUAUCAAUGGAGGUCAGCUUCUUAUCUGUUGACUUCCAUCAAAGAAUACCAAGUACAGUAUCUCCCCACAACUGUCAACACCAGAAUAAGUUAUGCGAAGUAAUUCUAUGGAAUCUAUGGAUUAUGCAAAUAUGUGUGAAUUGUGUUGCAGAAUGUUUAUAGGUUGCAGAAUUUCACUUUUCUAGUCAUAAAAUUGAAGCUAUCUUUGGGCUAGAGGUUUUAUCUUUCGUUUUCAAUGCACACAGAUCUCUCCAGCCCCAUUCCUCCAUCUAUGAAGAUGACUAUAUGUAAACAAACUUCUCUCUCCCGAUAAACUGCGACCUUGCCUUUCUUUCAUCUGACUCUCGGCAUGGGGACCGAGCUGUCCCCAGACUGCUGCUGCUGAGAGGUUAAAAGGGCUGAAUACAGAAAUCCCUUGGGUGAUAAAAAAAACUGUUUACAAAUGUAUUAAACAUAAAAGGAAACAGAUAGUAACAUUUUUUAUUAAAUAUUACAGUGGAUCAAAAAGUACAAAAUAUCUUUGCUUGCUAUGUGAUUGGGAAACUAUUGGCACAUAAUACAGUAUCAAAAGCAUUAAUACAUACAAUUUGGAAAACAUACAAAAAUUGAGUGUUUAUAGUUGGCUCAGCUUUUUUUUCUUUCUUUCUUUCUGGUAGUGUUUAAACUUAUUUAAUUUGAAAGGUUACUCAGUAACCCUUUUAUUCUUUUAAAAAAUGGGAAAACUAUAUAAUAUUACUGGGCCAUUUUUUUUCUAUAUACAAAUAAUCACCUUACAGAGCAUAUAAGCUACAAUAACUUGAAUCACAAGAAUGUAUACACUAUUUACAACAAAAGAACGCUCAAAACAAAGUAUAAACAGCUAGUAGAUUAUGCUGCCUUUGUUAGACCAUAUUUAAAACUAUGGGAGGGGAGGAAUACAUGUAAAAUAUCAAAUACAUUUACAGCUAACACCGGUUAAGUGCUCAAUAAUGAUAGUUUCAAUACUGCAGACCUCAUUAUCAGUGAAAUAUUUUCCCACUAUAAGCAUUACGGAUUGUGAAAUGGGGCCAGGCUUGACUACGCUCAUUGCUGUACAAUCGGAUCACAUGGAAUAACGAGUGAGUAGAAGCCAACCUCUCCCUUUAAAGGCACACACCACACAACCUAUUUCUGUGGCCAUCUACUGGCUUCUGUGAGCCACACAACAGAUAGGACAGAGCUUGAACAUAUGGGGACUAGUCAAGAAAACAGUGAGACAGAAGUGACUUUGGCUCUGUUUAACUCUUGCACGGCUGCUGCCUCUCUGGUUGCUCCUGUGCCACCCCCAGUUAGGGCUGCUUACACAAUUAGGCAUCACCCGAGAGACAUUUCCCUGAGUGGCGGAGGAACAACUACACUAUCACACCAUUCCAGCUAACGUGUAAAAUGGGGCCAAAAUUACUCUCAGCUUUUCUUGAAGCAGAAGUUACCUGGAGUGGAAUAACCAUGGAAACAGUAACAAUCCCAUUACUCCAGGUACUAUAUUAAACAGGGCUCAAGUCACAGGUUUCAUUGGCUUGCGGCCUGCGUGCUUAAGGAUUCAUGGAGCAGUUCAAUAAGCCAGGAACACUUCUUAGCUUUAUGUUGGGCUUCAGAUGGAAUUGGGAAACUCUUCUGAUUACUAAAGUGAGAAUCCGGUUGCAAAAGGCCUCACCCAACACAAACCCCUCCCCAUGUCAAUGGCUUCUAAAAAGACAAUUCUAUCAUGGGGAGGGAAAGGUUUUCUUUGUCUUUAAUCUCAUCAACCUUCAGAAUCUUUAAUGAAUCCUGAACAGAGUGAGUUGGAAUUGCAACAUUUCUUGGGACCAACUCAUGGUAAAUAGAUUUAUCACUCUGUUGCCAAUUAAACUGUUUUCUUUACCAAUCUACCAAUAACAAAAAAACUUGUGCAAUUUCAUUCAAUAAGGCCCCUUGAACUCAAACAAAGCAAACAAAGCCCCAUUUAAGUCACAGAAAGUAGUCUUCUGCCAGUGGAAAAUGCAAUACUUAAUAGAAAUCAUGGAUUUUUAAAAAGCAUUCUUAGGCAACCCACCCCACCAAUGGUAUGAGCUAUGUCCUCAUUGCUCUUCAUUUACCCUCAUCUUGGCCAAUGCAUCAUGAGCUUUCUAAAAAUAAGCCAGUCUUCCUAUUGAAAAAAGCAAGAGGAACAACAACAACAAAAAAAGGGGGGGAUCAAUUAACCCUGCACUGUGAUCUUUUAGAACAGUCCGAACAACUUUCAAAACGAUGCAUGAAACUGAAAUUGGAGACUUACAAAAUAAGCACACGAGGUUAAGAUUUAACAGUAUGGUUAUCAAAUCAAACUUUCAAAAAUGAGUCAUCCUAGGGUUGUGGGAUUUGGAAUAAAUGGACAGUCAAGUACCCUCAUAUGCACGCAUAGCUCCUGUGCAGGAGGGCAGCCCCAUUCCUUUCAAGAGGGUGGGGAGCUAAGUAUGUGCCAAAGGAUUUGUGCACAGUGCGACCCUCUCUACUGGAGGGAAAGGGGCAGGAUAGGGGCGUACCACUGUAAGCAAUGUGGAGCUACCUCUGCAUGCAGUAAAUGACUUGCUAAGGGUGUGCUGUUCCAAAACGAGGGACAAUCCUUUUAAAACAAGGGACAUCCCUUACUGUAAGGGGGAUCAGGCAACCCUACAUGCAGAUUAUCCCAAACAAAUCAGAGAUGCAUUACAUCCUGGAUUACCAAACCAGGCACAUAAUUCUAACAGUCAUUGCAGGCUUAUACAACCCUGCCAACUUCCCUUCCCCCUCCCCACCUUGAUUAUUAUAUUAGUCAGGUUUAGUGCAAUUUUUUUUAUAUACUAAUAAUGCCCUCUAUGGCAUCUGAUCAACUUAGAAUGUGAUUGCUGUUUUUUUCGAAUGCUCCGAGCACAGCAGGAAAAAGAAAAGCAAAAGUCGGCGUUGGCACAUUUAUCUUCUAAAGUCUACUAGCCUGCUUAUGCAUCAUCAGUUCAUAUAAUUUUACCACAAGAACAUAAAAGCGUUAAAUUGAAGAUAACAUCGAUCUUUAACAGUAGAUGUCUAUUAUUUUGUUGUUUUUUUUCCACCAUUGUAUAUUAAAUAGGUUACAUUAUAUAUUGCAGUUGGCUUCAUAUCACAGGAAAUUUCAAUAUAGGAUGUUUGGCAUGCAUGCACGAUGUUGCUUAAGUAGUUUCCACUAGUUUCCAGUAGUUUUGAUUAUUACUGUAUUUGAAUUGCAAUCUGGGAUGGGUUCAGCUCACAACCGAUUUUCACAUUGUAAAAUGCCUCAAAAAGUUCAGCCUCUCUGGGUGGCUGUCCAUACUUCCAGACCCAGCACAGAAAGGUUCCUCCAAAUAAAUCCACAUCGUUGUAGGGUGAUUUCCCCCAUGGACAAAACCCAAUCCCACCAGCUUCACUUACGGACUUGUCACUCUUCAAAUUACACCUUGUGACUGGGGUGGGGGGCUGCAUUUUAGCUUCAUGGGGAGGACCUGCCCCACCACCAACUCAAGCUGAUCGCUGUUGAGCCAAGUGCUCAGUGGGCUGCCGUGGCCAUUAUGUGUGGCCAGCGAUGAUGCCAGAGAGGUAUGGGGCAGCCUCAACAGAUUUGGCUGCCUUUGAUGCUUCCUGAAUGGGAGGUGGAAACUCAGCAAAUCCAUGAGAGACACUGGAACCAAAAUGAGUGGACGCUGGCAUUGUUUCUUGGAUUUGAACAAAGCCAGCUUCACGGCAGCACCUGACAUUUCCUCCCUCUGGUGGGAAACAUCACUUGUGCUGGUACACGGUGUCAGAGAGGAAUAUGAGAUGGGGGCAGAGGGCACGGUCCUUGGGGCUUCCUACCUUAGCACCAGCUUUCAAGUGUUCUGAUUGCACACAUUGGGUGCUUGCUCUCUACACCAAGGUUCUGUCCCUGCGUGAACAGCAAUGGAAGCUUCAGCAAAGGCCUCCCAGAAAGCCCUCAGCUGCUCACUCAAAGCCGCUGACAAAGGGCUCUUCGAACGCCUUUCCCUCCCAAGAGGAACAGCAAUACAGGCUGAACGAAACCUUCCCUUUUGCACGCCAAGGCCAAAGCAAAUGAGAGUGAGCAGCCAGCUGCAGUCUAUAAGGGUAGGACUCUUACUCUUGCUGUUCCCAUGGGUGUGUAAGGGGUGUGUGCAUGCACUAAAAGGGCCCUUGACUGCUCCUCUAAGGCCUCCAAGCUUGCACAGUAGCAAGUCAGUGGGUGGAGCCAUGCCUGCCAGCUCUUUGAGCCUUUCCUCACAUCAAAAUAUAUCCCCUUUUAUACUUCAGCUGCUGCCCUUUGUGCUGCAGUCCUGACCCUGCAAUGAUCUGAGCACCCUAGCCCAUUCCAGCAAAAUAUCUCAAGGCAAUUUUUAGCUUUCAGCAGGAAGACUCUCGUGAGAGUCAACAGGGUACUCUGGCUCAGGCUUCAGAAAUGCCACUGGCAUGGAACUUUUGUUCAAUAGGACCAGAGAGUCAAAGUCAAGUAAAACCGGGCUUAAGUGGUUUGUAGAUUAAGCUGCCAUUUUUGUUUUGAGUCCAAGCCACAUGGUCAGAAUACUUUGCUGGAAGAAGGUGGGAUGUUCAGCACUUUGUAGGAGGACUCCACCAAGCAAGAGUUCAACCAGUUCAUAGCCCAAAGGUGACCCUCAAAAGACUGACUUCCAGAUUUGGAACGGCUCCUUGCUAUUAUCUUUCUCAGAACGUUUAUACGUUCUCACCCAUCUCACUUCAGCAGCACAGAAUCCAGACCACCUUUAACUAAAA